GGUCCUGUGGUGUAGUGGUUCACGUCUGCUUCACACGCGGAAGGUCGCAGGUUCAAUCCCGGCCAGGACCU